GUAGUCAGUAUUCAAACUGAAUUGCUCUUCUGAAUCGUCUCUGGAUGAUCCCAUCGUCUCUCACGUAGUCACGUACUCACGUUUCUAAGUUUGCUAGUUUUUUAGUUUUUUUUAUUCUAACUUACGGCUAGAGUCGUGAGUCGUGACCUAAGUGGAUGUAGGGUUUUUUUAAAUUUGAUCCCUAUUUUUAAUUAAAUUUUGUAAAAUUAGGAAACUUAAAAAUUAAAACAAUUCAAACAAUAUUCUCAAAGAACAAUUCAAACAAUAUUCUCAAACAUUCCCGAGUCCUAACUCCUAACUUCCUAAGUCAGUUCAAACAACAUUCUCAAACAACAAUUCAAACAACAGAUCGAACAACAUUCCCGAGUCCUACCUAAACCGUGACUCAUAUCUAAACAAUGAGUUCCCCUAUCU
rnacentral:lncRNA from 1 species